rnacentral:rRNA from 1 species
UGCCAGCAGCCGCGGUAAUACGAAGGGGGCUAGCGUUGUUCGGAAUUACUGGGCGUAAAGCGCGUGUAGGCGGCUAGGUAAGUCGAAUGUGAAAUCCCGGGGCUCAACCCCGGAACUGCAUCCGAAACUACUUAGCUAGAGUCUCGGAGAGGAAGGCAGAAUUCCCGGUGUAGGGGUGAAAUCCGUAGAUAUCGGGAGGAAUACCAGUGGCGAAGGCGGCCUUCUGGACGAUGACUGACGCUCAGACGCGAAAGCGUGGGUAGCAAACAGGAUUAGAUA